AAUCACGAGUUCCGGUGCGAAGCCCUGGCUGGCCGGACUGCAACCCUCUCGCUGUAGUGGGGUGCACCAGGUGAUGAUUCGGCCGGCCCGCAGCGGUGACCGGCAAGUACAGCCG
rnacentral:ncRNA from 1 species